UUGGGACGUAAAAAUCCUUUAAUGCUUGAAUAAUGUUGCAUGGAAUAAUAGAAUACGGCCUCGGUUCUAUUCUGUUGGUCUUAUAGAACAACAAAAAAGUUGGUAAUUGCACCAAAGUUUCUUUGUGCGUUGGUUCUGCUUUGGCUAGCACGCUUGUGUUGCGUAAAUGUUAAAAAGUUUAGAGCCGCGGCGUUUGUUUAGUCGAGUGUUCCAUUUAAAGGCGCGCACUGAAUACGAGCAACCACCAACUGAGGCAAUGGUUAAAAGAAAUAGUCGCGGCGGCAUCAGUACUGCAUUGCUAGAGGUGAAAUUCUUAGACCGAUGCAAGACUAACUGAAGCGAAAGCGUUUGCCGAGGAUGUUUUCAUUAAUCAAGAACGAAAGUUAGAGGUUCGAAGGCGAUCAGAUACCGCCCUAGUUCUAACCAUAAACGUUGCCAACUAGCAAUUGGCCUGAAUUCUAUUUUAACAAAUUGAAUGAUUCGGCCAGCGGCUUUAGGGAAACCAAAGUCUUUGGGUUCCGGGGGAAGUAUGAUUGCAAAGUUGAAACUUAAAGGAAUUGACGGAAGGGCACCACCAGGAGUGGAGCCUGCGGCUUAAUUUGACUCAACACGGGGAAACUUACUAGAUUAGAACACAGGAAUGAUUGACAGAUUGAUAGCUCUUUCUUGAUUCUGUGAGUGGUGGUGCAUGGCCGUUCUUGAUUCGUAGAUUGAUUCGUCUGCUUAAUUGCGAUAACGAGUGAGACCUCACUUUACUAACUAGUCGCUUGGUGCAUCUUUGACGCAAAAGUCUUGCUAGCGGCGCGCGUUAAAGGCGG
rnacentral:rRNA from 1 species